CUGAUUUUUAUAUUAAACAUCAUUCUAUACUCCACUCUAAUACAACACUUAAAGUAUAUAUUUCAGAUAUUGCUUCCAUAUAAAGAACAUUCUAGAACUAUAGUUCUAUAGAACCUAGUCUUUAUUAUGCUUAUGUAAAGAACUUGGAUUAAAAACUUCAGUGCACAUUCCGUAUGAGGAAAUUUAUUAAGUGUGGAGAGAGAAGGCAAAUUAUCACUUUUCUUUUCUCUGACCAUAUUGCCUACCCCACCUGAUCUUUGAGAUCCUUGAUUUCCCUUCUGGUUCCUUCUCAUAUCUAUGACACACAGAAUUUGGAGUACCUUAGGAUGUAGUCCUUGGACAUUUCCUCUCUCCUGUCUACACUCAUUCAGUCAGGCCAAAAAUCUUGGAGUCAUCCUUGAUGUUCCAUUUACUCGCUUCCCAUGUCCUGUGCAUCAGAUUCAACCCUGUUUACCUACUUCCACUUCUACUUCACUCCAAGACACCAUCGUAUCUUGCCUGGAUAAUUGCAAAGUAAAGAGGAAGAUAAGAUGAAAAAAAGAAGUUAUCACUUUGCCCUUGAAUGGUCAGUAACUACCAGAGACACACUCCUACGCAAAACAAAAUAAAAUCAUUAAAUGACCCUCCAUUCUUCACAUCCUACCUACCUUUGUUGACUGCGCCAGAUAUUUAUACCAGUCUAUUUAUGCUGAAUAACCAGAAAUUUAAAAGAUUAAGUGUAUUGAAACAGAAGAAAAGUGGGACUUCUCUUCAUAGUAUUCAGUGGGUAAGGGAAAAUGAGUACUAAGUGUCCUUGGAAUCUAGGAAGGCAGACCCGAAGGAGAUGGUAAAAUGGAAAUGGGAUGCUAAAAUGAAGCUAAUGUAUUGAUCAUCUUUUAGCAGUCCAUGAAGCCCUAAUCCUUUACCAUAAAAAUCCUG
rnacentral:lncRNA from 1 species